GGGGGGGGGGGGGGGGGGGGGGGGGGGGGGGGGGGGGGGGGGGGGGGGGGGGCGGGGGGGGGGGGCGGGGGUGGCGAGAGGGGGGGGAACGGGGGGGUAGCCGGCCCUUGACUUUGGGGUGGCGGCAGGGGACGGGGGGGCAUCCGGGAGGGGAGCUCCUGCUGCAUGGGGGGGGUUGGAAAGGUUCGGCGGUUGGGGAGGGACUCGCGGCUUAUCAGCUUGUUGGUGGGGUAGUGGCUUACCAAGGCUUUGACGGGUAGCCGGCCUGAGAGGGUGACCGGCCACAUUGGGACUGAGAUACGGCCCAGACUCCUACGGGAGGCAGCAGUGGGGAAUAUUGCACAAUGGGCGGAAGCCUGAUGCAGCAACGCCGCGUGCGGGAUGACGGCCUUCGGGUUGUAAACCGCUUUCGCCUGUGACGAAGCGUGAGUGACGGUAAUGGGUAAAGAAGCACCGGCUAACUACGUG
rnacentral:rRNA from 1 species